UCAUAUAAAAAGGAAUCGACUAGCGUUAUCACGAAUUCAUGUGCAGCAUUUGAGAUUUAUUGAACAACAAAGAUAUUUAAUAUGCGAAUAUAUGAAUUUCAAGUUUAAUCUAUUUACAUUUCAUUAGACCUGCUAGUGAAUUUUAUGUGCAAGGUUCGAUAGUUGAUAAUUAUCCACACCUGCACAUAAAACUCAAUAGCGAACCAAUACACAUUUUUGUGGUGGAAUGUUGGUCACUCGAUCAUUUGGUCGCUCGAUUUUUCUCUGAUGGCAAAGUUUUAGUUAAAAUGCUUGCCUUGGACUGGUGUGCACCAUGGAUUGACAAUUUUAACAGCAGCUAGUUCCGCUUCUCGCUUUCCGCUUCCUUAUUUUGCCGGUGAAAAAUAUAGCUGCCAUUUUCAAUACUUCGAGAAAAAGGACGCCUUCAAACCGGAACGAAACGACUUCGAGGCCUUCUCCCAGUAUGCAACCGCUUGAUUUUUUCUGGCUAAUGAUAGCAUAUGUUUGUUCAGGAAGUGCCAAUAGAAAUUCUGGAGGAAAUUUGUCACCAGGUGCUGAAUCUGUUCUAGGAACCAAAAGCCGAAUCACCACCAGUCUUUCACGGCCUCUGAGCAAAUCAUCGCUACUGAUAAAACGCGUCAACAUUUCAUCGGUAUCGGAAAAAAGAUCGCCGGAUAUAAAUAAUCCCCCACCAAAAACAUUGGUUCUUCAACCAUCUGUUGAAAAAGUAACAAAUCCGAAAUCAAAACACAUAAUUCACGUUGAAGAUUAUGGCACCGUUCCCAUCUAUGCUACUGGGAAACUUUGAUUGUAAUCAUCAUCGAUAUUAUUUUAGCAUAAAAUAAAAUAAAAGUCAUUCAAA